rnacentral:rRNA from 1 species
CCCGCACAAGCGGAGGAACAUGUGGUUUAAUUCGAUGAUACGCGAGGAACCGUUACCUGGGCUUAAAUGGGAGUGACAGCUGUCGAAAGAUGGUUUUCUUCGGACACUCUUCAAGGUGCUGCAUGGUUGUCGUCAGCUCGUGCCGUGAGGUGUCGGGUUAAGUCCCAUAACGAGCGCAACCCUUACCGUUAGUUACCAUCAGGUUAAGCUGGGGCUCUAGCGGGACUGCCACCGUAAGGUGAGAGGAAGGUGGGGAUGACGUCAAAUCAGCACGGCCCUUAUGUCCAGGGCUACACACGUGUUACAAUGGCCGGUACAAAGGGCAGCCACUUCGCGAGAAGAUGCUAAUCUCGAAAGCCGGUCUCAGUUCGGAUCGAAGUCUGCAACCCGACUUCGUGAAGCUGGAUUCGCUAGUAAUCGCGCAUCAGCUAUGGCGCGGUGAAUACGUUCCCGGGCCUU